rnacentral:rRNA from 1 species
GAAUUUUGGACAAUGGGCGAAAGCCUGAUCCAGCAAUGCCGCGUGCAGGAUGAAGGCCUUCGGGUUGUAACCUGCUUUUGUACGGAACGAAAAGCUUUGGGUUAAUACCCUGGAGUCAUGACGGUACCGUAAGAAUAAGCACCGGCCAGCAACACGCCCGCAGCCGCGGUAAUACGUAGGGUGCAAGCGUUACUCGGAAUUACGGGCCGUAAAGCGUGCGCAGGCGGUUUUGUAAGACAGAGGUGAAAUCCCCGGGCUCAACCUGGGAACUGCCUUUGUUACUGCAAGGCUAGAGUACGGCAGAGGGGGGUGGAAUUCCGCGUGUAGCAGUGAAAUGCGUAGAUAUGCGGAGGAACACCGAUGGCGAAGGCAACCCCCUGGGCCUGUACUGACGCUCAUGCACGAAAGCGUGGGGAGCAAACAGG